GACGAACGCUGGCGGCGUGCCUAAUACAUGCAAGUUGAGCGCUGAAGGUUGGUACUUGUACCAACUGGAUGAGCAGCGAACGGGUGAGUAACGCGUGGGGAAUCUGCCUUUGAGCGGGGGACAACAUUUGGAAACGAAUGCUAAUACCGCAUAAAAACUUUAAACACAAGUUUUAAGUUUGAAAGAUGCAAUUGCAUCACUCAAAGAUGAUCCCGCGUUGUAUUAGCUAGUUGGUGAGGUAAAGGCUCACCAAGGCGAUGAUACAUAGCCGACCUGAGAGGGUGAUCGGCCACAUUGGGACUGAGACACGGCCCAAACUCCGACGGGAGGCAGCAGUAGGGAAUCUUCGGCAAUGGACGAAAGGCUGACCGAGCAACGCCGCGGGAGUGAAGAAGGUUUUCGGAUCGUAAAACUCUGUUGGUAGAGAAGAACGGUGGUGAGAGUGGAAAGCUCAUCAAGUGACGGUAACUACCCAGAAAGGGACGGCUAACUACGUG
rnacentral:rRNA from 1 species